GCCACCAUGGCUCAGUGGCUAGAAACACUGGUCUUGUAAACCAGGGUUGGUGAGUUCAAUCCUCACUGGUGGCU